ACGGAUCCUUCGGGAUUAGUGGCAGACGGGUGAGUAACGCGUGGGAAGCUACCUUGUGGUAGGGGACAACAGUUGGAAACGACUGCUAAUACCCUAUGAGCCCUAUGGGGGAAAGAUUUAUCGCCAUGAGAUGUGCCCGCGUUAGAUUAGCUAGUUGGUAAGGUAAUGGCUUACCAAGGCGACGAUCUAUAGCUGGUCUGAGAGGAUGAUCAGCCACACUGGGACUGAGACACGGCCCAGACUCCUACGGGAGGCAGCAGUGGGGAAUAUUGGACAAUGGGGGCAACCCUGAUCCAGCCAUGCCGCGUGUGUGAUGACGGCCUUAGGGUUGUAAAGCACUUUCAGCAGUGAAGAUAAUGACAUUAACUGCAGAAGAAGCCCCGGCUAACUUCGUGCCAGCAGCCGCGGUAAUACGAAGGGGGCUAGCGUUGUUCGGAAUCACUGGGCGUAAAGAGUACGUAGGCGGACUGAUAAGUUAGGGGUGAAAUCCCAAGGCUCAACCUUGGAACUGCCUUUGAUACUGUCAGUCUUGAGAUCGAGAGAGG
rnacentral:rRNA from 1 species